AACGAACUCUGGUAUUGAUUGGUGCUUGCAUCAUGAUUUACAUUUGAGUGAGUGGCGAACUGGUGAGUAACACGUGGGAAACCUGCCCAGAAGCGGGGGAUAACACCUGGAAACAGAUGCUAAUACCGCAUAACAACUUGGACCGCAUGGUCCGAGCUUGAAAGAUGGCUUCGGCUAUCACUUUUGGAUGGUCCCGCGGCGUAUUAGCUAGAUGGUGGGGUAACGGCUCACCAUGGCAAUGAUACGUAGCCGACCUGAGAGGGUAAUCGGCCACAUUGGGACUGAGACACGGCCCAAACUCCUACGGGAGGCAGCAGUAGGGAAUCUUCCACAAUGGACGAAAGUCUGAUGGAGCAACGCCGCGUGAGUGAAGAAGGGUUUCGGCUCGUAAAACUCUGUUGUUAAAGAAGAACAUAUCUGAGAGUAACUGUUCAGGUAUUGACGGUAUUUAACCAGAAAGCCACGGCUAACUACGUGCCAGCAGCCGCGGUAAUACGUAGGUGGCAAGCGUUGUCCGGAUUUAUUGGGCGUAAAGCGAGCGCAGGCGGUUUUUUAAGUCUGAUGUGAAAGCCUUCGGCUCAACCGAAGAAGUGCAUCGGAAACUGGGAAACUUGAGUGCAGAAGAGGACAGUGGAACUCCAUGUGUAGCGGUGAAAUGCGUAGAUAUAUGGAAGAACACCAGUGGCGAAGGCGGCUGUCUGGUCUGUAACUGACGCUGAGGCUCGAAAGUAUGGGUAGCAAACAGGAUUAGAUACCCUGGUAGUCCAUACCGUAAACGAUGAAUGCUAAGUGUUGGAGGGUUUCCGCCCUUCAGUGCUGCAGCUAACGCAUUAAGCAUUCCGCCUGGGGAGUACGGCCGCAAGGCUGAAACUCAAAGGAAUUGACGGGGGCCCGCACAAGCGGUGGAGCAUGUGGUUUAAUUCGAAGCUACGCGAAGAACCUUACCAGGUCUUGACAUACUAUGCAAAUCUAAGAGAUUAGACGUUCCCUUCGGGGACAUGGAUAC
rnacentral:rRNA from 2 species